AGAAUCAACGCUGGCGGCGUGCCUAACACAUGCAAGUCGCACGAGAAAUGGGAGCAAUCCCUGAGUACAGUGGCGCACGGGUGAGUAACACGUGAAUAAUCUACCUCCGAGUGGGGAAUAACUGAGAGAAAUCUUAGCUAAUACCGCAUAACACUUACGAGUCAAAGCAGCAAUGCGCUUGGAGAGGAGUUCGCGGCCGAUUAGUUAGUUGGCGGGGUAAUGGCCCACCAAGACGAUGAUCGGUAUCCGGCCUGAGAGGGCGCACGGACACACUGGAACUGAAACACGGUCCAGACUCCUACGGGAGGCAGCAGUGGGGAAUUUUGCGCAAUGGGGGAAACCCUGACGCAGCAACGCCGCGUGGAGGAUGAAAUAUCUUGGUAUGUAAACUCCUUUCGAUGGGGAAGAUUAUGACGGUACCCAUAGAAGAAGCCCCGGCUAACUUCGCGCCAGCAGCCGC
rnacentral:rRNA from 1 species